CCAGACUCCUACGGGAGGAAGCAGUGGGGACUCUUGCACAAUGGGGGGCCCCAUGAUGCCGCGACGCCGCGUGCGUGCAGAAGUAUUUCGGUAUGUAAAGCUCUAUCAGCAGGGAAGAAGAUGACGGUCCCUGACUAAGAAGCCCCGGCUAACUACGUGCCAGCAGCCGCGGUAAUACGUAGGGGGCAAGCGUUAUCCGGAUUUACUGGGUGUAAAGGGAGCGGAGACGGCAGGGCAAGUCUGGAGUGAAAGCCCGGGGCCCAACCCCGUGACUGCUUUGGAAGCUGCCAUGCUAGAGUGCUGGAGAGGUAAGCGGAAUUCCUAGUGUAGCGGUGAAAUGCGUAGAUAUUAGGAGGAACACCAGUGGCGAAGGCGGCUUACUGGACAUUAACUAACGUUGAGCCUCGAAAGCGUGGGGAGCAAACAGGAUUAGAUACCCGAUUACAA
rnacentral:rRNA from 1 species